UACGUAGGGUGCGAGCGUUGUCCGGAAUUAUUGGGCGUAAAGAGCUCGUAGGCGGCUUGUCGCGUCGGAUGUGAAAGCCCGGGGCUUAACUCCGGGUCUGCAUUCGAUACGGGCAGGCUAGAGUUCGGUAGGGGAGAUCGGAAUUCCUGGUGUAGCGGUGAAAUGCGCAGAUAUCAGGAGGAACACCGGUGGCGAAGGCGGUGCUCUGGGCUGGAACUGACACUGAGGAGCGAAAGCGUGGGUAGCAAACAGG
rnacentral:rRNA from 1 species